AACGAACGCUGGCGGCAUGCCUAACACAUGCAAGUCGAACGAGACCUUCGGGUCUAGUGGCGCACGGGUGCGUAACGCGUGGGAACCUGCCCUUAGGUUCGGAAUAACUCCCCGAAAGGGGUGCUAAUACCGGAUAAUUUCUUCGGACCAAAGAUUUAUCGCCUUUGGAUGGGCCCGCGUUGGAUUAGCUAGUUGGUAGGGUAAAAGCCUACCAAGGCGACGAUCCAUAGCUGGUCUGAGAGGAUGAUCAGCCACACUGGGACUGAGACACGGCCCAGACUCCUACGGGAGGCAGCAGUGGGGAAUAUUGGGCAAUGGGCGAAAGCCUGAUCCAGCAAUGCCGCGUGAGUGAUGAAGGCCUUAGGGUUGUAAAGCUCUUUUACCCGGGAUGAUAAUGACAGUACCGGGAGAAUAAGCUCCGGCUAACUCCGUG
rnacentral:rRNA from 1 species